rnacentral:rRNA from 1 species
AAGAGUUUGAUCAUGGCUCAGGACGAACGCUGGCGGCGUGCUUAACACAUGCAAGUCGAACGGUAAGGCCCUUCGGGGUACACGAGUGGCGAACGGGUGAGUAACACGUGGGUGAUCUGCCCUGCACUUCGGGAUAAGCCUGGGAAACUGGGUCUAAUACCGGAUAGGACCAUGGACUUCACGGUUUGUGGUGGAAAGCUUUUGCGGUGUGGGAUGGGCCCGCGGCCUAUCAGCUUGUUGGUGGGGUAAUGGCCUACCAAGGGCGACGACGGGUAGCCGGCCUGAGAGGGUGUCCGGCCACACUGGGACUGAGAUACGGCCCAGACUCCUACGGGAGGCAGCAGUGGGGAAUAUUGCACAAUGGGCGCAAGCCUGAUGCAGCGACGCCGCGUGAGGGAUGACGGCCUUCGGGUUGUAAACCUCUUUCAAUAGGGACGAAGCGCAAGUGACGGUACCUAUAGAAGAAGCACCGGCCAACUACGUG